GUCCACGCCGUAAACGAUGGAUGCUAGAUGUCGGGAUGUAUGUCCCGGUGUCGUAGUCAACGCGUUAAGCAUCCCGCCUGGGGAGUACGGUCGCAAGGCUGAAACUCAAAGAAAUUGACGGGGGCCCGCACAAGCAGCGGAGCAUGUGGCUUAAUUCGAAGCAACGCGAAGAACCUUACCAGGGCUUGACAUCUAGGUGAAGCGGCGGAAACGCCGUGGCCGAGAGGAGCCUAGACAGGUGGUGCAUGGCUGUCGU
rnacentral:rRNA from 1 species